AGUGAACGCUGGCGGAAGGCCUAACACAUGCAAGUCGAACGGCAGCACAGGAGAGCUUGCUCUCUGGGUGGCGAGUGGCGGACGGGUGAGGAAUACAUCGGAAUCUACCCUGUCGUGGGGGAUAACGUAGGGAAACUUACGCUAAUACCGCAUACGACCUACGGGUGAAAGCAGGGGAUCUUCGGACCUUGCGCGAUUGAAUGAGCCGAUGUCGGAUUAGCUAGUUGGCGGGGGAAAGGCCCACUAAGGCGACGAUCCGUAGCUGGUCUGAGAGGAGUAUCAGCCACACUGGAACUGAGAAACGGUCCGGCCUCCUACGGGGGGCAGCAGUGGGGAAUAUUGGACAAUGGGCGCAAGCCUGAUCCAGCCAUACCGCGUGGGUGAAGAAGGCCUUCGGGUUGUAAAGCCCUUUUGUUGGGAAAGAAAUCCAGCUGGCUAAUACCCGGUUGGGAUGACGGUACCCAAAGAAUAAGCACCGGCUAACUUCGUGCCAGCCGCCGCCGUAA
rnacentral:rRNA from 1 species